UAACCUAGCUAACAGGGAUACUAGUAGGGGCUAACCUAGCUAACAGGGAUACUAGUAGGGGCUAACCUAGCUAACAGGUAUGCUAGUAGGGGCUAACAGGGAUUAAUGUAGAAGGUACAGAGAGACAUCAGCAGUACUGACAGGGUUAAUGUAGAAGGUACAGAGAGACA